rnacentral:lncRNA from 1 species
CUGAACUCUGGACCAAAGAAGAAGAAGCAAAACCUUCGCAUUAUUCUCCACAAAAUCAUUCGACCACAACUGAUUUUUUACCAUAAAAAAACAGGACAACUUUAUGUUAUGUUGUACACCAAGAAUCUGAUAAUGAAGCAACAAAAAUCGAAUUGACAGAUGAUCAUAACUUGCCAGGCCCAGCUAAUUAAAAGCUUUAGAAUUACCUCUGCAAGAACAGUAAGUGUGGGGUGGAUUUAACUUCAACCAAUGGCCUGAAACUCGAAAACAGGCUUGAAUUUGUCCUUUCAACUUGUGCUAUCUCAAACAUUGGCAUACACUCCAAAACCCCACUAGUUUAACCAUACCCAAACUGCUUAAUACAUAUAUAUACUACAAAAUACAAAGUAUCCUAACAUAUAUAAAACAAAAUGGUUGUAACUAUUAGGAUCAUUUUGAUUCCAGAAAACAAGAAAGAUUUAUCGUUACCAAACAGACUGCUUGAGAGACUAAAACAUCGCUUUGAAAAUGCAGUGAGGGGACAAAAACAAACAAACACAUGAAGCUUGAUGAAGAGUAUCCUUGGAACAAGGUUUAAUGGUGGAGACAAGCCACAUAAGCCAUGAGUGAUAUGUUGGUGAAGCUGUGGUGAGAAUAGUGCGAAAGUUUUGGUUCCUCUUCUUUGGUCCAGAGUUCAGGUCUUUACCUCUAUCUUCUUCCAUGCUAUACUCCAUUUUCAUAGGUUUAUCAUUUUCUUAUUGAUGAAAGAAGAAG